GACGAACCGUGCGAACGUUGUUCGGAAUCACUGGGCUUAAAGGGCGCGUAGGCGGCUUGCCAAGUCAGGGGUGAAAUCCUGCAGCUUAACUGUAGAAGGGCCUUUGAUACUGGCGAGCUCGAGGGAGGUAGGGGCGUGCGGAACUAUUGGUGGAGCGGUGAAAUGCGUUGAUAUCAAUAGGAACUCCGGUGGCGAAGGCGGCACGCUGGACCUCUUCUGACGCUGAGGCGCGAAAGCCAGGGGAGCAAACGGG
rnacentral:rRNA from 1 species